GAGACAGGACAACUUUAUACACAGUUAGCUUGAGAUGAUGGCAGGACACCCAAAUGGAAACAUCUGGUACGAGGUGUCAAUGCAGAGCCCAGGUCCAACAGAUGGUGGCAUUCAGGGGUAGAGAAGAAUCACCUAUACAGAGGUGACCUAUGAACCCAGCAGUAUGAGAAUAAAGAGAGGCCGGAAGAGGUAGAUGAGAAGACCAGGAUGAAAUAUCAAAAACAAUGGAAACAAUUCCACUGGGGUAAAAGGCCACUGGCCACGUAACACGUAGUUUUAUGGCUAUCUUGGAUUCACAACACUGCACUCUUUGUACCCCCUUCACUGGGAGAGAAGGGUCUUCUACCUGCCUAGGGUGGGGUCCUGGAAGAGGAAGUUCCAGGACAUACUCCUUUUAGAAGGCCUGUCUCCUCUUUUACCAGGCAGUGCCCCACCCUGGGACAAGGGACACCUUGUCAAGAGGAUAAAUUUCACAACGGUCCAAACAUGGUGAAUCCAGUAUAAACAUAAUCAGGGCACCUGUUAGUUCAUUUAACAAGUGCAUACAGGCACCUGUUAGUGUGCACUGUGUGUGGAAUAAAGGUUUCCAGUCCACCCUUCAAUACAUGAAAAGAUGCUCAGCUUUUUUCUAAUUUGAC
rnacentral:lncRNA from 1 species